GUGCCAGCACGCCUGCGGUAAUUCCAGCUCCAAUAGCGUAUAUUAAAGUUGUUGUGGUUAAAAAGCUCGUAGUUGAACCUUGGGCCUGGCUGGCCGGUCCGCCUCACCGCGUGCACUGGUCCGGCCGGGCCUUUCCCUCUGUGGAACCCCAUACCCUUCACUGGGCGUGGCGGGGAAACAGGACAUUUACUUUGAAAAAAUUAGAGUGCUCCAGGCAGGCCUAUGCUCGAAUACAUUAGCAUGGAAUAAUAAAAUAGGACGCGCGGUUCUAUUUUGUUGGUUUAUAGGACCGCCGUAAUGAUUAAUAGGGACAGUCGGGGGCAUCAGUAUUCAACUGUCAGAGGUGAAAUUCUUGGAUCAGUUGAAGACUAACUACUGCGAAAGCAUUUGCCAAGGAUGUUUUCAUUAAUCAGGAACGAAAGUUAGGGGAUCGAAGACGAUCAGAUACCGUCGUAGUCUUAACCAUAAACUAUGCCGACUAGGGAUCGGACGGUGUUAUUCAUGACCCGUUCGGCACCUUACGAGAAAUCAAAGUGCUUGGGCUCCAGGGGGAGUAUGGUCGCAAGGCUGAAACUUAAAGAAAUUGACGGAAGGGCACCACCAGGGGUGGAGCCUGCGGCUUAAUUUGACUCAACACGGGGAAACUCACCAGGUCCAGACACAAUAAGGAUUGACAGAUUGAGAGCUCUUUCUUGAUUUUGUGGGUGGUGGUGCAUGGCCGUUCUUAGUUGGUAGCGUUGACUUGUCUGCUUAAUUGCGAUAACGAACGAGACCUUAACCUGCUAAAUAGCCGCAUUGCUCAGGCAGGUGCGGCUGGCUUCUUAGAGGACUUCGGCUCAAGCCGAAGGAAGUUGAAGCAAUAACAGGUCUGUGAUGCCUAAGAUGUUCUGGCGCAUCGUCGGCUAACACUUGGACGGGUCUCGAGCAAGAU
rnacentral:rRNA from 1 species